AGGCUGCAACUCGCCUGCAUGAAGUUGGAGUUGCUAGUAAUCGCGGAUCAGAAUGCCGCGGUGAAUGCGUUCCCGGGUCUUGUACACACCGCCCGUCACACCACGGAAGUUGGGGGUGCCCAAAGUUGGCAGGAUAAUAUGUUACCUAAGGCAAAACCGAUGACUGGGGUGAAGUCGUAACAAGGUACC
rnacentral:rRNA from 1 species